rnacentral:rRNA from 1 species
UACAUGGGGUGCAAACGUUGCUCGGAAUUAUUGGGCGUAAAGCGCACGUAGGCGGUUCGUUAAGUCGGAUGUGAAAGCCCUCGGCUCAACUGAGGAAGUGCACCCGAAACUGGCGAGCUUGAGUACGAAAGAGGAUCGCGGAAUUCCCGGUGUAGAGGUGAAAUUCGUAGAUAUCGGGAGGAACACCGGUGGCGAAGGCGGCGAUCUGGGUCGAUACUGACGCUGAGGUGCGAAAGCUAGGGGAGCAAACAGG